AGCCCAUGACGAGGACACCUCUGUAAGAGAUCCUUAAAUCUCUCCCAAGCUUCAUAGAGUGACUCUAUAUCUUGUUGGAAAAAUUUGUGAUAUCACUCCUCAUUUU